CCCGCAGCCCCACCGCCACAACACUGCGGGAGGGUCGGACCUGCGCUAAUUAUCUGGAGUCUCUAAAAACCAGGAGUAAAAAAGAAAGUCUACAUAUACAAACAGGAAGUGGUUUCGGUUUAUUUACAUCUAUUGUAUACGUAUGGUGGAAAUACUAUAUAAUGUUAUGCUACUUAGCAUCUCUUCCCAACUCCAUGUUCAACGAUGGACAUCUCAUCCAGCUUAAAUCAGACGUGGCGGAAGUACGGUAACACCACGGAAAUUAGCAAACGCUGCAAAUCAGGCCCCACUCCCAGGACGAGUUGUUAAACAUUUACCAGGACGUGUGUCUGCGGAAGCCACCGUGUAGGAACAGAGAACCAGCACCAGUGGCCCGGCUAGGUGAGCUCACCAGUGAAGCCGGCAGCGUGAGUGGGGCAGGGAGCCCAGGUACCCCUAGGAGGCAGCCAGACUCCAGAGAUUCUCCAUUGAACCGGGAAGGAGUCCUGACCACAGCCGCGGAGCCUCCACCUGCCCUUCAUUGACUUUCCGUCUCUUGAAGACACUGGGCCACUGUCACAGAUCCGUCUGCUGGUAGCCAUGAGGACCCUGAGGGAAACCCAAGGCCUCCAGGAGGGGCUUCAAGGGGCAUGCCCGAGGACCAUGGUGGAGGUGCGUGGCAGAGUCCUCGGGUCCAUUGCUGCAGAGGGAGGCCUGGGACCAGCUGGAGCCAGGUCAGAGCUUUGAAGCUGUCAGCCUGCUGUCUUUCUUUGCAUACUCGCUUGACAGAGUGUGGUUUGAUGAGCGGCGCAUAUAUCUCCGCCUGGGAUCCAAACCUGUG
rnacentral:lncRNA from 1 species